rnacentral:tRNA from 1 species
GGUUUAUGGCUCAGUGGUAGAGUGCGUGCCUUGCAUGCGCAGGCACAGGGUUCAAUCCUCAGCACCA